rnacentral:tRNA from 2 species
GCCCAGGUGGCGGAACCAGGGAUACGCGGGACGCUUAAAACGUCCUCCCGCUUAGGCGGGGUGUGGGUUCGACUCCCACCCUGGGCACCA